UAAGCAGGUCAAAUAAUUAGGUCAAGGAUCCGGAAGAAAUAUUGAAUUACUUGCAAACCGGAUUAAACCAGCGAGGGACAAUUUGGUCAAUUCACCCCUAGAACUGACUCCUGACCUAACUGUCCAAUAAAAUCGGAGAAACAAAAAUUUCGGGAUCGAGAACUAGAUUAAAGAACUAAUAAAAAAAAUAAAUGCAAAAGAAAAAGAAAUUGAAAAAAAAGUUUAUUACAUCACUAUGAUGAGCUCAUAUGUGACAUUAUAAAUAAUUUUAUUUUUCUACAAAUAUUGACCAAGUCAAAAUUCAUUUAAAUAAGACAUAAAAUCAUUAAACAAUUAAAAAGCAAAGACUUUCUUCUUCCUCCAAUUUUUGGCCGAAUUCUCUCCAUAGUCCACCAUUGCCCAACCUCCAUUAACAAGCUUUUAAAGCUUGAAAAACUUAAUUCUUCCCCAUAAAUUUCAACCCUAAACCCUAAAAAGCUUCCAAUCUACACUAGAAAAGAAGAUUGAGGGAGAAGAAGAAAGAAGAAAGUGAAAGAAUUGGUGGAUUGUAAAUCAAAGAAUUAAGGUUAGUGUUCUUCUUCAUUUUCUCUUUGAAUAUAUGUUUAAGUAGUUAAGUUAUGCUUGUAAAUAAACUUAAAAUGGAAAGAAAAUUUGUUGAGGGAUUAUAUAGAAUGUUGGAUAGCUAGGGUUUGGUUGGACAAAGUAUAAAUUUGUUUGAGCCAAACAUGUUGGAAGCUUAAUUGAGUUAAGGGAGUAUGCUUAUAAGUGUUUAAUGACAUGAAUUAGGGUUUUGAACUUAGGGUUUGUGAACCAAAAAUGCAAGAAAUGAGUAAAUGGCAUGUUUGACCUAUUGUGAAGUGAAAAAUGGUCAAUUGUGACCAAAUAAGUUGUGUUUGAAUUAUUAGAAGUGAAGCCAAAUUCGGAGGUUGUAUGCAGCAUGACCAAGUCAACUUUGAAGGACCAAAACAAAAAUUUUACAAGUCCAAUUGAUA
rnacentral:misc_RNA from 1 species